CUGCUGCCUCCCGUAGGAGUCUGGGCCGUGUCUCAGUCCCAGUGUGGCCGGCCACCCUCUCAGGCCGGCUACCCAUCGUCGCCUUGGUAGGCCAUUACCCUACCAACUAGCUAAUGGGACGUGAGUCCAUCUUUCAGCGUCAGGUCUCCCCAACUUUUCCUAUAUAAACAUGCACUUAUAUAACUCAUCCGGCAUUAGCUCACCUUUCGGUAAGUUGUUCCAGUCUAAAAGGCAGGUCACUCACGUGUUACCCACCCGUGCG
rnacentral:rRNA from 1 species